rnacentral:rRNA from 1 species
UACGAAGGGGGCUAGCGUUGCUCGGAAUCACUGGGCGUAAAGCGCACGUAGGCGGCUUACUAAGUCAGGGGUGAAAUCCUGGGGCUCAACUCCAGAACUGCCUUUGAUACUGGUGAGCUUGAGUUCGGGAGAGGUGAGUGGAACUGCGAGUGUAGAGGUGAAAUUCGUAGAUAUUCGCAAGAACACCAGUGGCGAAGGCGGCUCACUGGCCCGAUACUGACGCUGAGGUGCGAAAGCGUGGGGAGCAAACAGG